GCCCCCUCUCCGCCGCGAGGUGAGUUAGUCUCCUGAGAUCCACCCCCCCCCCCCGCAUGGCCAAGAGUGUCGAACCACGGCGAUCAUCGCUGGCGCGCUCUUCGGUGAGAUACCGCAAGGUAGUCGUGUCCAGGUGUUGCGUCUGCUUUGGCUACAUCCUCAACGUAUACCACAGCCUCGCGGAAUGCCAAGAUGAAGCCAAUUCCCAUGGUUUUCUUCCUCGUGGAGGACUCAUCGCCGGCCGAAUUCAUCGUCGUCGUUCGUCUCUGAUCUCGAACGACCCCGUCGGCCCCCCUAGGUGAGCUGUCGCGUCUCCCCAUCGCCUUCCCCCUCUCGAUUAGGGCCUAGGGACGUCGUUCUCGUCGGACUCAAAAGCCUACCUGCAGAACCUCGUUGGCCACGAGUGAGAUGGACGCGUUGAAGUAUUCCGCGCAUGUGUAUCAAGUUCGCAUUGCAGUGUGGGACCGAUUUCAGCCAGCGGCUCCCCUCGUGAGUCGCCAGAGCGCGUCGAGCCGCUGCUCCCUCCUCAGGUCGCCACCGACAGUAGCGUGUGUGUGCGUCUGUUGACCUCCCCUCUGCUCCGAUGUGUUGCGCCGCGUGAAGGUAGUGUCGUUGGCGCAACCCGUGGCCAUCGUUGUUGUGUGCACCAGCGGGCACCAUGUCGUCGCCUUAGCGCCGCUGGCGUUCUGUUGCCGGCGAGGGCAAGCUGGUACCUUGUGUGUGUACUUGAGGGCUAGCCCGCCUCUCUACCACGAUCCGUGUAGUAGCGCAGUGGCUGCAUGCUGGUUUGAUCCCCCCACCCCCUCGCGGCGAUUUAAACCCCCCUUCCCUUUUUCCUCCAUUGUAUGUAGGGCACUAAUAGUGGGCCUUGGGCCCACUUAUCAUCUCCAGAGUUUCCCAUGUAUCUAUGCGAGUGGGACCCCAUUUCUAUGUAUUUUCUGUGAUGUUUUUCUAUGUUUAGAUCCAUUUAGGUUCCUUUCCAUUUUGGGGUAUGUCCAAAUCGGGACAUGGCCAGAUUUGGUAGGUGCCAUAUUUGGCAUGAUUUAACUUAUAACAAGAGAAGGACAUUUUGUGUAGCUGUUUUGUGUAAUUUUGCCAUAGGAGCAUAUGAGUGUGACAUAUGGAUUUGGGGUAGCAAAAUCCUAGGAAUCCAAUGGUUCCAUUAUUUUGGACAUAAGAGCACAUUUGUGAAAAUGUUGCUUUGUGAUAAGAUGCCAUUUUGUUAUUUUUGCAUUAAUUAAACCUGGCACUAUUUGGUAACUUGUCAACGUCAAUUGGUAGAGUUUUUAGGGUACUUGGCCCUGGUAUUUUUUUUCUUUGCCAUGAUAAGCUUGUGGUUUAGUGGGGUUCUUGUUGUAAACGUGCUAAGAAAAUAUUGUUGUUUUCAUGAGCUCAAAUAAUUUUAAGUGUUGAACUUGUUAAUUUCUUACCAAGUUGUCUUGAUGAUUCCCAUGCAUAUGUUGUACCUUUGUGGUUGGUCAAGUGCCAUAAUUUGUAGUGCUUGUUUCCCUCUCUCAUAUGGUGCCACCACCUUGCCAAAUAGGUUUUGCAUCUUAGAGUUUCUUCCUAUAAAAUAGUCUAUGAUGUUAUAAAUUGUUGUAAAUUAUCUUGGUGAAAUUUGACUAAGUCUGUGAAUCUGCCCUUAUUUUCAUGCCAUGUUUAGGGGAUGCUACCAUGGAUUAUAUGUAGUCUGAGCUCAUGCUUAGUGUGAGUGAUUUGUAGUAGUUGUUGCCCUCUUUAUUCCUGUUAAAUUUCAGGCCAUGAAACGAACUGUAGAGUAGAGUUUUAUUGCUAUCAACAUGCCACCAGGUUAAAACCUGCAAGUGCAAACUGAGGUUUUCACUAAGUCCUAAACUAUGAUAUUUCUUUCCAUGUUGUGAGCUUGAUUACCAUUGUUGCAUGAACCUAUACAUGUUGCUAUUAGUUAGGUAUUAUUUUGCACUUUGAUAGCUUAAUAUUCAUGUCUUGGUUGAACUUGUUGAAUGGCUGUAGGCACUAGUUUCAUUUGAUCAAUGUGGCAUGCGGACAUAUUGGGUGCUAAAUUGUUUUGUGCUUGGUGUGAGUUGUGCUCCUUUGCUUUGCAUGGUCUUUGGGUCUAUUCAACCUGGAAUAUCGUGCCCAAUCCAGUGGCAUAUUUGGAGUGCCAACAAAAUGCCCAUAGCUCCCUCCCAAUGUUGUUUAGUCAUUAUUGACUUUGUACCUUUUUUGUGAAUUCCGAGAGAUCCGUAGCUCGAUUUGCGACGAUCCUUAUAUGUUUUUGCACCAUUUCUCAUGAUGCAUCCAUUCAUGCCAUGUUCAUGCAUGUCCAAAUAAAUAAACUUGAGGUUCUUUCCAGAAUGGUAAACAACCUAAUAAAUGCAUGAGAAAGAUGACUAGUUAGCAUUGCCAUGCUCCUUUCAUAACCACAGUCAUAAAUCAUGUUGGUUGAAGCAUUGCAUCUUGAAGUGUGUCCAUUGGAUGUAUAUUUUUCUUUGGGUAGCAACAGGAGAUGAGAAAAUGUGCGAGGAUUACAUUGAUUAUUUCCCUGAAGAGCCAGAGUUGUACCUCUCAGAAAAACGAAAACGCAAGAUGAUUGUGACGUGAUAUCGUCUCUAAUUUUGUUGUGCCUAGAUGACUCAUUUCCAUCGCUGCCUACCACCUGAAUAUUAAGCCUCCAAACAUUGCCAUGAAAUCCUCUAACCCAUCCACAACCUAGCAAUCAUUGAUUGGCUAAGAUAGCGCUUGCUCAAUCCUCUUAUAACAUUGCUAGUUGCAGGUGCAGACUGAUACAUAUGUUUACAUGGGAUUUGAAUAUCGUCUUAUUACUAAUAUUUAAUUUAAUGCACCUAUAUACUUGGUAAAAGGCGUAAGCCUUGGCUUUUUUCAGAGUGUUUUGUUCCUCUUUUGCCGCCAUAGUUUCGGUUACUGGUGUUAUGUUCCAUAUUGAGCGCUGCUAACAUGCUUGGGCUUGUUAUAGGGACCCCCCUGACAAUUCGCUUUGAGCUAAGGUUCUUCUGGCAAGGAGCAAUAUUGGUACUACAUUUGCUAAACAACUUAAUAAGAAUGCAUAGGGAAUAGCUACCCCGUGCAUAAUUAAUCAACAACCCAGGCCAAUGCUCCUCGUGAGUGUUGGUCGAAACGGGCAAACUGCAGCGCCACCAUGAGGAAACUCGAGGUUUGGUUUUAUACAUAGGCUUUCCCAUAUGGUAGUUCCCUGAGACAGAGACACGCGUGGAUCCUAUGGGCUCUGGCCUGCCAGUCAGUCUUGUUGGUUUGUCUUACUUCUAGCGAAUGUCUUAUACACUGGGAUAUCGGUGAUACUUCGGGCUUUCUCGAGGUUGAGGUUUUCUCUCCACAGGAGCUUGUGGUAGUUUGUGCUAGACUAGUAUUGGAGAACCCCUGCAGGGUUAAUAUAUAUCGGAAAGUUGUGCCCAAGGUUAUGUGGCAACUUGGAAACUUUGUUUAACAACCAAUUCUAGAUAACUUGAAGUAAACUUAACUAAAAUAUGCCAACAACGUGCGUAACCGUGACUAUCUCUUUUGCAGGCUCCUUCUCCGAAUGAGGACACGGUGGGAUUAUGACUGACGUAAGUAGGUGUUCAGGAUCACUUAGUUAUCAUUAUGUAGGUAACAACCAUCAUGCGUAGACCACUAACUUACAUUAUGUUCUCGUAAGUUAGCUACCAUAUAUGCUUAGUGUUGCUGCAACCUCAACACUUACCUCAACACCCAAUAACUUUAUUAGAUCCAGUAUAUGGUCGCAAGAUUGUUGAGUCCCUGUGGCUCACAGAUUACUACGACACCACAGGUCCAAGUACCGUAGAUCCAGAGGUGUUUGACGCUACGUAGGUUCUAUGGGAGUUUGAAGAAGGCAGUGGUCGCAUGUACGUGACAUACCCCGAGGAUUAGAGGACCUUGGUCGUCUCCUAGGCUAGCGAGACAGAGUCAUUGUAGUUUUCCGUUUAUCUUAUCCGUAGCCGGACCUUGUUUUAUGGAUGAUUGAAAUAAUGUUAUGUGGCUUGUAACUGAACUUGUGGCGAGUGUAAGCCAAU
rnacentral:lncRNA from 1 species